GAAAGGCUUUCGGGCUGAGUAGAGCGGCGGACGGGUGAGUAACGCGUAGGAAUCUACCUGGUAGUGGGGGACAACUUGGGGAAACUCAAGCUAAUACCGCAUACGCCCUAAGGGGGAAAGCGGGGGACCUUCGGGCCUCGCGCUAUCAGAUGAGCCUGCGUAGGAUUAGCUUGUUGGUGAGGUAAAGGCUCACCAAGGCGACGAUCCUUAGCUGGUCUGAGAGGAUGAUCAGCCACACUGGGACUGAGACACGGCCCAGACUCCUACGGGAGGCAGCAGUGGGGAAUAUUGCGCAAUGGGGGCAACCCUGACGCAGCCAUGCCGCGUGUGUGAAGAAGGCCUUCGGG
rnacentral:rRNA from 1 species